CGGGGUCUUGCAACCAAAUCUUGGGUUCGGCAGUCGGUUAUGCGAAGGGAAGGUAUUAGCACCCCUACGCAUCCGUAGUACUCUACGGGAUCCACUUGUGUAGUUCUUGUCUAAAGGGUGUGGGUUUAUCUAAUGUGUUAUUUACUAAAAAAGGGGGGUUAAAUGAAAAUGACUCGCGCGGAUGUCGCAUCCACUGCAUACGUAUCUCAUCUGAAUAUGAGAAUCAGAGUCUUCGUAGCUCGGCUGACCUAUGGGUUGGGGGGAUGUGUGCUCGCUAAGACAUCGCGUCUUAUGCCUACGUAUCUCAUCUGGCCUGAGAAUCAGAGCAAAACGUAGUUCGGCUAACUAUGGGGUUAUGGAUUGGGUUUUGGACGAACGACGUCACUACGCAAUCUACCGGAUGCUCGACCUUUGGAGACUUACUCGCCUGUAGUAGAAGGAGUUAACGUGUUGCUUUGGGUUUUAGGGUUUGGGAU
rnacentral:lncRNA from 1 species